CUGCAGGCUGCAACCCGCCUGCACGAAGUUGGAAUUGCUAGUAAUCGCGGAUCAGCAUGCCGCGGUGAAUACGUUCCCGGGUCUUGUACACACCGCCCGUCACACCAUGGGAGCCGGUAAUACCCGAAGUCAGUAGUUUAACCCUUGUGGAGGACGCUGCCGAAGGUAGGAUUGGCGACUGGGGUGAAGUCGUAACAAGGUAGC
rnacentral:rRNA from 1 species